rnacentral:tRNA from 1 species
GCCGGAGUGUCGGAAUCGGCAGACGAUGGCGACUCAAAAUCGCCUGGGCUCACGCCCGUGGGGGUUCGAGUCCCUCCUCCGGCACCA